rnacentral:tRNA from 1 species
GUGGUUGUGGCUUAGUGGUAGAGGACUUGCCUAGUAUGUGUGAGGCACUGGGUUCUAUCCUCAGCAACACA